CUACUACUCCCUCCGUCCGAAAAUACUUGUCAUUGAAAUGGAUGUAUCUAGAUGUAUUUUCGUUCUAGACACAUCCAUUUUGAUGACAAGUAAUUCCGGACGGAGGGAGUAUUAU
rfam:Triticum aestivum genome assembly, contig: Triticum_aestivum_CS42_TGACv1_scaffold_425208_5BS